rnacentral:tRNA from 1 species
AAUUGUUUAGUCUAAUAAAGACAUUUAUUUUGAAAAUAAGAAAUGAUUUAUAAUAAAAUCAUCAAUUU